rnacentral:rRNA from 1 species
UACGGGGGGGGCAAGCGUUGUUCGGAAUCACUGGGCGUAAAGGGCGUGUAGGCGGUCAGGUAAGUGGGACGUGAAAUCCCUCGGCUCACCCGAGGACCUGCGUCCCAUACUGCUUGGCUUGAGUAUGGGAGAGGAUGAGGGAAUUCCUGGUGUAGCGGUGAAAUGCGUAGAUAUCAGGAGGAACACCGGUGGCGAAGGCGCUCAUCUGGCCCAAUACUGACGCUGAGGCGCGAAAGCUAGGGGAGCAAACGGG